AACGAACGCUGGCGGCAGGCUUAACACAUGCAAGUCGAACGCAUGCCUUCGGGCAUGAGUGGCAGACGGGUGAGUAACGCGUGGGAACCUACCCCUUGGUACGGGAUAGCUCCGGGAAACUGGAGAUAAUACCGUAUGUGUCCUGAGGGACAAAGAUUCAUCGCCAAGGGAUGGGCCCGCGUCGGAUUAGCUAAUUGGUGGGGUAACGGCCUACCAAGGCGACGAUCCGUAGCUGGUCUAAGAGGAUGAUCAGCCACAUUGGGACUGAGACACGGCCCAAACUCCUACGGGAGGCAGCAGUGGGGAAUAUUGGACAAUGGGCGCAAGCCUGAUCCAGCCAUGCCGCGUGAGUGAUGAAGGCCCUAGGGUUGUAAAGCUCUUUCACCGGUGACGAUAAUGACGGUAACCGGAGAAGAAGCCCCGGCUAACUUCGUG
rnacentral:rRNA from 1 species